GAUGAACGCUGACAGAAUGCUUAACACAUGCAAGUCUUUGGCGAAGCUGUGCUUGCACAGCCUAGCCAAGGCGGACGGGUGAGUAACGCGUAAGGAACUUGCCCUGCAGUCAGGGAUAACAGACGGAAACGACUGAUAAGACCUGGUAAAGUCAGGCGGACUCAUGUCCAGCCUGAUGAAAAGAGAUGCUGCAGGAGAGCCUUGCGUCCUAUUAGCUUGUUGGUGGGGUAACGGCCCACCAAGGCGAUGAUAGGUAGCCGGCCUGAGAGGGUGGACGGCCACAAGGGGACUGAGAGACGGCCCUUACUCCUACGGGAGGCAGCAGGGGGGAAUAUUGGACAAUGGGGGCAACCCUGAUCCAGCAAUUCUGUGUGCACGAUGAAGGUUUUCGGAUUGUAAAGUGCUUUCAGCAGGGAAGAAAAAAAUGACGGUACCUGCAGAAGAAGCGACGGCUAAAUACGUG
rnacentral:rRNA from 1 species